UACGUAGGGGGCAAGCGUUGUCCGGAUUUAUUGGGCGUAAAGAGCUCGUAGGCGGCUCGGUAAGUCGGAUGUGAAAACUCCAGGCUCAACCUGGAGACGCCAUCUGAUACUGCCGUGGCUUGAGUCCGGUAGAGGAGCAGGGAAUUCCUGGUGUAGCGGUGAAAUGCGCAGAUAUCAGGAGGAACACCAGCGGCGAAGGCGCUGCUCUGGGCCGGUACUGACGCUGAGGAGCGAAAGCGUGGGGAGCGAACAGG
rnacentral:rRNA from 1 species